CUAUUUCAAUUCAAAAAACCCUAAAUGUAAAGCAAUCAUCUACAUCGAGAAAGUAACUCACCGAAUUUCUCAUGGCCGAUCUAGGGUUUAAUUCACCGAUUUUCUCUCUCCCGAGCGUAUUCUGAUAAGUGUGAUGGUAGGGUUUCGGCUUGAUGUUGAACGCGGGUGAUAACUCCACCAGAGAAGAUGCUGACUUAAUCUGGUCAUUGAAUCCGAGAUCGAUGAACCUUGGACUUCUACCACUAUUUAAAGGUAAUAUCUUACUUUUUUAUAGCUUGCCUUGGCUUGGACUCGACUUGGCUUAUUUACAAACCAAGCCGGCUCGGUCCAGCUCAUUUACAAGUGAUCCGACUAAAGACAAAACCGUACUGUAAGUUCUUCGUGUUUGACAUUUAGUAAUUGAAAAUCAGUGAUUCUUUUGAAAAAUAAUAGGUUUUAGGUUAAAUUUACAUGUAAUAUAUUUUAGUCUGUUAUACAUGAGGUUUUGCUUUGUGUGUGAAAGGCACAAAGCCAUUGCCAUGGUUGUGGCCUAUGUCAUUAAAGCGGUUUAUGAGGAUCAAAUCUUUUUAGUAGAAUAUGAAUCAUCAUAUUAUGGUGGGUUAAUGUUUAAAUGAUCUUAAGCUGCUAUUGAUAUUAGCUUAUUGAGUCAAAUUUUUUAGUAUGAAUUUGUACUUUUCUUCUAGCACAUUGUAGCUUGCACUUGGCCUCAUCAUUAACUCACACACUGUUGUGUUGAACCCAUUAGUACAUUUAUCAGAUUGGAUCUUGCUUCAGCAAACACGUUUUUGAUCCCCAAGGUUAUGACAUGGGCACAUGGCUGACUAUUAUGAUGAUACAAGUAACGCACUGUAAAUGUUGUUGACCCCACCCCUACCUAUGUGUUCUACGCAUCAUUGUUUAUUUAUUUUUAAUAGAGGCUGAUCUCAAGAGGGAGUCAGAGAGAAAGCUUGGACCAAUUGAAAGCUAUUAGCGACCCUAUUUUCUUCAGAGCUCACAGCAAGGCCAUAAGCAUCACAAACUGCUAAACAGUAUUUUCGGUGAGCUGCAAGAGUGGGUGGGAAUCGAAAAAACCAUGGAUUUCAAAAGAGAAAAUUGAUCAGGUAUUACGUGAGGCAGAUGAUCUCAAAAGGUGGUUAGAUGACAAGGAGGCUGAGCAACAAAAGUUAUCUGCAUCCAGCACCUCGGCUUAUACUUCUCAAAAGGUUAUCGACAAGCUGCUAGAUCUUAAAGACAAGUGGUACGCGUAAAAGGAAUAAUCGGUGAAAAGUUGCCGGAGUGUAUUUUCAAUGCGAAACCUCAUAAAUUAUUGAUAGAGAAACAUGCAAUAAUCUUGGAGUCCGAGACAAGACAACCUUAAUAAAGCCGUAGAGUCUUAUCAGUGGUCUUUGUCAACUAAACCCAAUUUCUCUCAAUCGUUAAACAACUUUGGAGUAGUCUACAUAGUGCAGGUUGAGCACUUGGUGUUGGUCGGGGCCAUGCUAUUGAUAUGCGAGCUCGGCUAUUGGUGCUCCUCUGCCUCCUGUAGCUACUUUUUUAUAUUUGGUUGGUUUUACAGCUAGCUACUGUUGUUCCUCUGCCUUCUGCAAGUAAACUUUUACUCAAAACAGGUAUAUCAUAAGAAUCUUUUGUAGAAUGGGUGCAUCGUGAAUAUUGAUUGCAAGUUUAUGCUUUUGAAUAUUAAUUCAAGUUUAAUCCCUAAAUUUCAGUUA